rnacentral:rRNA from 1 species
UACGAAGGGUGCAAGCGUUACUCGGAAUUACUGGGCGUAAAGCGUGCGUAGGUGGUGAGUUAAGUCUGUCGUGAAAGCCCCGGGCUCAACCUGGGAAUGGCAGUGGAUACUGGCGAGCUAGAGUGUGAUAGAGGAUGGUGGAAUUCCCGGUGUAGCGGUGAAAUGCGUAGAGAUCGGGAGGAACAUCAGUGGCGAAGGCGGCCAUCUGGAUCAACACUGACGCUGAGGCACGAAAGCGUGGGGAGCAAACAGG